GGUGAUUCCAUCGAUUCUCGGCACUUCCUUCCAAUUCGCCAUUAGGGUUUCCACCUCUGGAUGGUGUAAUUGUCGUCGCUCAUGGUCGAAAUUCGGUCGUGCUUUCGUUGCCUGCGUCACUCUUGCACCGCCAGUCACCAUUCUGUGCCCGAUUCGGGAUUCAGUAGAGGGUGAUGCUUUUGGGAGGAGCGGUGAGGUCAGAAAUUUUUCAGAUGGUGGGAAAUUGGCAUUUCGGUGAAGGGAUUGGAUUUUGUUAGGUGACGCCUUGCCUGGCAUGGGGGUUGUGAUGAGGUGCAGAGGUUUGGUCAUUUGGUGUUAAGAGAUUGAGUGUGUCGGAGAAAUUGGAUACGUACAGGUAGCGUUUGUGAGAGCCUCAGAAUACGUACUCUUUUUAGCGGAUGUGAAGGUGGGGACUAUAUAGUGGUUCGGAGAGCGAAAUGCUGCUUCUGAAUUGCUGGAAUUCGACGUGAAUUGCGUUUCAUCCACGGUUUGGUGCAGGAUAUGGAUAGCACACCUUUGUCGCCGCUGGUGGUUGCGCUCAAUUACAAGCUCGACGUUCUCGUGUCGAUUUGGCUGCACCCUCCAGGAGAAGAUUUUCAGUUGUGAAGAAGUUUGUGAAUAGGUCUUUUUUUUUCUUCAUACUGGAAGUACUUGUAUGAAGGAGUCUGCGGCUGCGGAUUUAAUAUACACGGGAGCAAUGAAAACUGCUUAUGAUUACGAUGCUCUGUAUAAUUGGUAUGUCAGUGCAUGCGAAAGAUAUGGGACGAGUCCUCACAGUUCUAUCCUUUCAGUAUUCGACAAGGUUCGAAAUCAGCAUACGAAGGAGGACCGAACCCUUACGAUUCCCUUGGAUCAGAUUCCGAAUAAUGACAUCGAGCCUCUUAUGGAGAUGUUGUCAGCAGUCGAAACUUCAGACCUAGACGCAAUUGAUAUCGUGUAUAGCAACUCAGUGUCAAAUCUGAGAUGGUCACGGGUGGUUCACGUCAUGCGAGCUGCUGGCUCCAAGCUCCGAAAUGCAGACCUAAGAGACAAUGUUUUUGGACGCGAAGCUGUUAGGGAGCUUUUUCAUGGUGGAAUCAACUGUCAGAGUAUGGAUGUUAGUUUCUCACGCAUUCGCAAAAUGGAAAUGUCAGGACAUUUUCCCAACUUACAUACCUUGAACCUUGACUACUGCUUCUCAGUGACCUGCUUACCUGAAGGGUGCUUUGGUGCUAUGCCUAAGCUGGCAAAGCUCUCUAUGUGUGGCACCAGCGUCAUGAACUUGUGGACAACUAGUGUCGCUUUACGUAAGCUUGUAGCUUUGAGAGAGCUCCGAUUCCAAAAGUGUCUGUGUUGUCAAGGCACAGGUCAGUGUGCAGCUCUAGCAGCUUGUCCGCAAAGUGAUGGUAUUGGUGGGCGGAAGGGGCGUUUAUACCAGGGUGGUGCGGAGAGGAAUCAGCCCAGGCAGUGGGUACCUCCACCCGACAGGAGUGGAGAAGCUUACGAAUCGUCUGGUUCUGUUCUUUCCGACCUUUCAGGAAGUGAGGAUGAUUCAGAUCACCUAUUUAGAUAUCCAGAGUCAGAUGAUAAUCAGGGAUCUGGCAACUCGAGUGUGGAAUCAGCUGAAGACAGUGAUACUGAGCAGGCUGCACCAAGGGAAAGCCAGGUCAUGGAUGUUGUAAGAGGUGAUGAUCCAGCCUACCCUACUCUUAUGCGAGGAAGUGGUGAGGAUCAAGGCGACCCAGAGAGUGAACACACCAUUGUAGAUGAAGAGCUUCCGUUAGUCGCUGAGCAACUUGUAGCAUCAAACCAAGAGGCUCACGAGGAAGAUCACGUCAGAGAUGGGAUAUCGGAUCUUCUUGACUUGGUCGAUUCUUGCACACUGCCUGACUCAAGGGCCCCAUUUGGUGGAAUUCUGUCUAAUACUUCUAUUAGUGAAGGAUUAUGUCAGUUGGAAACUGAUGAUGCUGAAAUAUCAAUGUUAGAGGCUCUCGAGAGGGUUGUUGCUCGAAAGACUCACCUCAGUAUUAGAGGAUCAGCUAGCCAGAUUGAAGAGUCUAAUCAGGAAAUCACUUUAAGACGAAGUGAAGGCAGUGGUGAACGAGCUAGCGAGCGGGAGGCAGAAAGAGCAGAAGACAAUGGAGACGGGCCCUAUCCGAUGGCGAUUCCAGGAUCAAAUGCUUGGCCCGGUGCUCGUCCCGCAUCACCUAUAUGCUACGAAAAGAACUACCGGGAAUUUUUGAUCAAUAUGCUUCCAGGUCUUCAAGUACUGGACAACAUGGCUAUAACCGAGAAUGAAAGGGAAAAAGCUCGUUAUGUGUAUGAACAGCGAUUUGAACCUGUAGCAAAUAAUCGAAGGGUAAUGGAGAAUUUACUUCAGGUCAUCAAUCGACGAGAAGUGGGUGGUUUUGGUAUUAGAGCUGGUCGUGGUAGUAAGUUAAUUCACGUAAAUAAUGAGAGGAGUUCCGAUGCAUAUACCCGCUCUCUUUCCGCUGCCAAACUCGGAUCUAAUGCAUGGCCUACGAUGAAGACCAUCUGUCGGUUUAAGAAACCAAGUUUAGAUGGUGGUAGACGAUGUCGACCUCGCCAGUUUGAGUAUCAUCCUACAGAGCCAAGUUACAUGGUUUUUGGAACACUUCAAGGAGAGGUGGUGGUUAUCAAUCAUGAGAGUGACAAGGUCGUGGGAUACGUACAAUCCAUUGGUGCUCCACACAGUAUUCUUGGGCUCUGUUGGUUGAACAAGGAUCCAAACAAGCUGAUUGCUGGAUCAGACAAUGGAUGCAUUCAACUUUAUGAUGUUAACCACAUGCGAGCCUCUGAGAUUUCGUCUGAGAGACGCGUUUCCAGUAUAUAUCAACACCAAAGUAAUGGACGUUGGGGUCGGCAAUCUAACUCUGGGAACAUUGGCGGUAGAAAUGGGAGGAGUCCCACAAUUUACACUUACGAUGAUUUUGAGCAGUUAACGUCUGUUCACAUAAACUCAAGUGAUGACUAUUUUGUGGCAAGUGGAUAUUCCAAUCAUGUUGGUCUUUACGAUCUUCGCACUGGCACGCGAAUGCAAAUCUUUCGUGAUCUGCAUAAAGAGCAUAUCAACGUGGUGAAGUUUGCAAACCAUUCACCCCAAAUAUUUGCGACUUCGUCAUUCGACAAGGAGAUUAAGAUGUGGGAUUUAAGACAGAGAAUCAUGCAGCCUAUCUACACUGUUAGAAGUAAUCGAGGCAAUGUAAUGGUUUGUUUUUCACGCGACGACCACUACCUUCUUUCAUCAGCUGUUGAUAAUGAGGUAAGGCAACAUCUCGCAGUGGAUGGUAGACUCCACAUGAAGUUUGACAUUACUCCAAUGGGCAGUAGUCAAAAUUACACUCGCUCUUAUUAUCUCAAUGGUCGUGACUACAUCAUAAGUGGCAGCUGUGAAGAGAAUGUCGUCCGUGUCUGUUGUGCUCAAACUGGCAGGCGGCUUCGGGAUCUAACAGUGGAGGGCCGAGGUUUGAGAAAUUCCUUGUACGUACAAUCACUACGGGGUGAUCCAUUCAAGGAUUUUCACUUCUGUAUGCUCGUGGCUUACAAUCAUCCCCAUUCAAGAUCAGAGAUUAUCAAGGUAAACUUGCUUGGAGAAGAUCACCAGGGAGAGGAUCAUGAAUUUCAACGUCAAUACAUUCCUCUCACUGGCAUGGGCGCUUGAGGACCAGGUGCACUUGAGUUUGCAUAUUUACAUGGGUUACCUGUCUAUUAUAUUUUCACUGAUCAACCUCUUUGGACGGUGUGACUAGUUACUGAAUGUACAGAAGAUAUGGUUUACAGCAAGUGGUGAUUCUGUAAUUAUAGAGGUUUGCUUCGAAUUAUAUAUAGUGGGAUAUACUGGCGUGUCUUCAACUCGACAUUGAAAUCAGCUGCGCUCUUCGUGGCUUAUGGCUUAUUGUAGAAGGAGCUCAACACAAGGCUCUCUUUCAGGAGAAUUGGAUUUUUUACUGCCGACAUCUGUGGAUCGAUGGGUUUGUCGAGACUAGUUUGUGUGCACACUAGUUCGGGGUUUGUAUAUGAGAAGUUUUUUGUGGGCAACCACCUAGUAUGCUGCAUACUAGUCCUAAUUGGUGUAUUGGAUUUCGAUUUAAUAAAUUGUUGUCGUUAUGGAAC